CUCUGGUCAUACCGCCCAGCUGCGAUUCCCGUCACGCUUGGUCGCUUGUCCUCUUCUUCUCCAGAUAUAUCCAAAACGAAUCAUCGACGAUCCCAUCGAGAGAAAUGGCAGCACCAGACCAGCUCUUCUAUCUGCGAAACAACUUCUACUUGGGUGCUUACCAAGCCGCGAUCAACAACAGCGACCUCUCUCCGGAGGACGCCGUCGAGCGCGAUUGCCUUGUCUACCGCUCUUACAUUGCCCUCGGCAGCUACCAGCUUGUGAUCAAUGAGAUCGACUCCUCGACUGCUACGCCUUUCCUAGCCGUGAAAUUUCUUGCUCUCUAUUUUUCCAGUCCUGAUAAUUGGGUUUGUUGUUUAGUUAUUUAGAUUGUUAUAAGAAUAAUUUGGACGUAGCAUUGUUUCAUCUCUUGGAUAUUGGGAUCUGAUUGCGAUUUGAUCGUUUGGUUUAUGAGUGCAUUUGAUGCAUGAUAGAUUAAGUCCUCGGAAUUGAAACUCCUUCGGUUCUCAUAUACAAAUUUCCUUGUGGUGUUUCGUAGCGCUAUGAUUUUGUUAAUGGUUUUACGUUAUGUUUUGCGGUUUCUAAGGAUAGUUUGUAAAGGACAUAGAUCUUACUGUUUUAAAUAAAUCCGAAGUUCCCCUCUCAAACACAAUUGCACAACCUAGACUCUGUUCAAGAAUCAGGUUUCUGUAAGUUUUUGUAACUGGAAAAACUUAGUAUGGAGAAAUUAAUUGCGAGUUUGAACUUUGAAGCUGUUGAAGUCAGUUAGCAUAGGAAGUAUAACUGAGUGGAUUUUUUUGCACUGUUAAUUAGAUGUAGAGUCUUUCUUGCAGGAAUCAACAAUUUCAAGCUUGAAGGAGUGGUUGAAUGAUUCAGCCAUUGGAAGCAAUCCUAUUUAGCGGCUGAUAUCUGGGACCAUAUUCAUGCAUGAAGAGGACUAUAAUGAGGCUUUGAAACACACCAUUACUUUGGUUCAUGCAGGGAACAUGGAACUGAUGCCAAGGAUCCAGAAACUCUAGCCAAUCUUUUUGUGGUAAAUCCUCUUCACGUUAUCUCAGAUUAGAGCAUGAAGAGAAGAAGAGAUGAGCGAAUGAAGAAGAUGAAGUUGAGAUAAGAAGAGACAGAGAAGGAUAGCUGAUGAAGAAUUCUCAUUAGCUUACCUUGCAACGGCUCAAUGGAGCCUUAUGUACAGACAGUUCAAAAUUCAAAGACACUGUCAACGGUCAAAACGAUUUGACCUUAUAAAAGUAUAAAACAAUUGUAAAAAGAUUAAAAGAUAAUGAAGGUACAAAUAACUAAACGCCCCUUUUCACUUGGUAUGCAUAUUGGACUUGAGUGAUGGGCUCAGCAAGACAAGAGACAGCCAGCCUAUUGAAUGAGGCAGCCAGCCCAUUGCAGAAUCGUCACCAUCUUCAGCAGCUCUAGUAGAAGCUUCAGGAAAAGGAAAUGGUGUGAGACACGCAGCAGAGAAUGGCGUGAGAGAAGAUAUCAUCUCUCAGGUUUAUCACCCCCCCGCAAGCUGAUCAUGGUGGGAAAUCAUGUUCAGCUUGUGAAGGUACUGAAUUUGAUGCACAGCAAGAGGUUUAGUGAGCAAAUCGCCAGGUUGAUAUUCAGAUUUGAGAUAUAAAAUGCAUAUCAGACAAGUCAUAAGUAUGAUGAUGAGAUGUAUGUGGUGAAGAAAAUGCACCACAAUGAUAAUCAGAAAGGUGGCAGUGUAUACAUUCUGGAAUUUUAUCACCUAGGAUCUCUGGUAAAAGCUUGGAUACAUAUUCAGAAGGGUGUCCCAGUCUUAGAUGCCAGAUACUAGAAGAUACAGCUGAGUUGAUUAGGCUUGUGUGGCUUUCAUCUUUUCUUGGUGUCUGGUUGAGGUAGUAGAGUCCUCUAUUCAUCAAACCCAGCUCAGUUCUCCUCAAAGAAUUUGUUUCGUGCAAUUCAUAGGAAGGCAAUUAGCUGAUUGCACUGGUCAUUGGUGAGAUCCACUGGACCAGUAGAUUCAAGCUCACUUUGACUGACAUUUGCCACUUGAUUUGCUGAAUACCACCUUGAGGAGUUGUUCUGUCUUGGCCUCUUCUGAGGAUUGUUUGGAAUAUUUGCUUUUUAGAUCUGACCAAAGCGCCCUUGCUGUCUUCUAGAUAGAUAUACCCACCAGGAUUUUGGGAGAGACGCUGUUAGAGAUCCAUGUCUUUAUAAGUCCAUGGAAGCAGGUGUUUUGGAUAUAGCAUCUGUGGAAUUGGUAGAAAACCAUCAAGGAAAUCAAGCUUGUUCCUUGCUUCCAGAGCAUUCAACAUGUUGGCAUUCCACACAUGGUAAUUCUCUCCUGUCAGUUCAAGUGAAAUUGGUUUGGUUACACUAAAAUCACUGGGUAGAAAACUGAUGUUUACAUCUCUUGAGACCUUACUAAUUUGGUUUUGAAAGUUUUAUUCUCUAGUUUGUACAAUGAUGUUUCAUCUAUCUCUUGGGACAUUCCUGCAACAUUUAUCCAUUGGGG